GACGAACGCUGGCGGCGUGCUUAACACAUGCAAGUCGAACGGUAAGGCCCUUCGGGGUACACGAGUGGCGAACGGGUGAGUAACACGUGGGUGAUCUGCCCUGCACUUCGGGACAAGCCUGGGAAACUGGGUCUAAUACCGGAUAGGACCACUGCCUGCAUGGGUGGUGGGGGAAAGCUUUUGCGGUGUGGGAUGGGCCCGCGGCCUAUCAGCUUGUUGGUGGGGUGAUGGCCUACCAAGGCGACGACGGGUAGCCGGCCUGAGAGGGUGACCGGCCACACUGGGACUGAGAUACGGCCCAGACUCCUACGGGAGGCAGCAGUGGGGAAUAUUGCACAAUGAGCGCAAGCCUGAUGCAGCAACGCCGCGUGAGGGAUGACGGCCUUCGGGUUGUAAACCUCUUUCAGCACCGACGAAGCGCAAGUGACGGUAGGUGCAGAAGAAGGACCGGCCAACUACGUGCCAGCCGCCGCAGUAA
rnacentral:rRNA from 1 species